UGGGGAAUUUUGGACAAUGGGGGAAACCCUGAUCCAGCCAUACCGCGUGUGCGAUGAAGGCCUUCGGGUUGUAAAGCACUUUUGGCAGGAAAGAAACGUCAUGGGUUAAUACCCCGUGAAACUGACGGUACCUGCAGAAUAAGCACCGGCUAACUACGUGCCAGCAGCCGCGGUAAUACGUAGGGUGCAAGCGUUAAUCGGAAUUACUGGGCGUAAAGCGUGCGCAGGCGGUUCGGAAAGAAAGAUGUGAAAUCCCAGAGCUCAACUUUGGAACUGCAUUUUUAACUACCGGGCUAGAGUGUGUCAGAGGGAGGUGGAAUUCCGCGUGUAGCAGUGAAAUGCGUAGAUAUGCGGAGGAACACCGAUGGCGAAGGCAGCCUCCUGGGAUAACACUGACGCUCAUGCACGAAAGCGUGGGGAGCAAACAGG
rnacentral:rRNA from 1 species